rnacentral:lncRNA from 1 species
AAAUAAAAAAAUAAAAAAAUAAAAAUAAAAGAAUAAAAAGUAAAAUAAUAUGUGCAGGGUUUUUACAAAUUAGUGCUAAGUGAAAUUUAGUGAGCUAUAAUUAGAGUGAAUUCCACUAAGAUUAUCAUGUGUUGAAGUAAAAAUACAAUUAUGUACAGAAUUAUAAAACCUAACCUUCUGAGGAGCAUAAAGUACAUUACUUUAUUGUUUUUUAUGUAAUAUUUAGAAAAUAGUAAAUGAACAUACAGAAUUUAAGGCAAAUGAAGACAUUAAACCCCAACUCAUUUGAAUUUAAAGAGUAUGAUAACUUCACAAACAAUUGUCAUGCACUAAUCAAAACUAUAACUUUUUUCUUAAAAAAUAUCAUUAC